rnacentral:rRNA from 1 species
GAUCCUGGGCUCAGGAUGAACGCUGGCGGCAUGCCUAAUACAUGCAAGUCGAACGAGAGGAAGGAAAGCUUGCUUUUCUGAAUCUAGUGGCGAACGGGUGAGUAACACGUAGGUAACCUGCCCAUGUGCCCGGGAUAACUUCUGGAAACGGAUGCUAAAACCGGAUAGGUAGCAGACAAGCAUUUGACUGCUAUUAAAGUGGCCUUGGCCAUGAACAUGGAUGGACCUGCGGUG